rnacentral:rRNA from 1 species
GGAAUAUUGGACAAUGGGGGAAACCCUGAUCCAGCAAUGCCGCGUGAGUGAAGAAGGCCUUAGGGUUGUAAAACUCUUUCAGUGGGGAAGAUAAUGACGGUACCCACAGAAGAAGCCACGGCUAACUUCGUGCCAGCAGCCGCGGUAAUACGAAGGUGGCGAGCGUUGUUCGGAUUUACUGGGCGUAAAGAGCACGUAGGCGGUUGGGUAAGCCUCUUGGGAAAUCUCCCGGCUUAACCGGGAAAGGUCGAGGGGAACUACUCAGCUAGAGGACGGGAGAGGAGCGCGGAAUUCCCGGUGUAGCGGUGAAAUGCGUAGAUAUCGGGAAGAAGGCCGGUGGCGAAGGCGGCGCUCUGGAACGUACCUGACGCUGAGGUGCGAAAGCGUGGGGAGCAAA